rnacentral:rRNA from 1 species
AUUGAACGCUGGCGGCAGGCUUAACACAUGCAAGUCGAGCGGAGUGAUGGUGCUUGCACUAUCACUUAGCGGCGGACGGGUGAGUAAUGCUUAGGAAUCUGCCUAUUAGUGGGGGACAACAUCUCGAAAGGGAUGCUAAUACCGCAUACGUCCUACGGGAGAAAGCAGGGGAUCACUUGUGACCUUGCGCUAAUAGAUGAGCCUAAGUCGGAUUAGCUAAUUGGUGGGGUAAAGGCCUACCAAGGCGACGAUCUGUAGCGGGUCUGAGAGGAUGAUCCGCCACACUGGGACUGGGACACGGCCCAGACUCCUACGGGAGGUAGCAGUGGGGAAUAUUGGACAAUGGGGGGAACCCUGAUCCAGCCAUGCCGCGGGUGUGAAGAAGGCCUUAUGGUUGUAAAGAACUUUAAGCGAGGAGGAGGCUCUUUUGGUUAAUACCCAAGAUGAGUGGACGUUACUCGCAGAAUAAGCACCGGCUAACUCUGUGCCAGCCGCCGCGGUAA